CGCUGGGCGGGGCCAGCACUCAGAGGGACAGGAAUUUCCUUCUUCCUUUCCUACUUCCCCCUCAACCAAGAGGUGGGAGAGUGGGAAGAAGGCGCCAAGUGCACGCUGCUGGCGGUUGCAGCCCCCCAGAGGCCUGAGAUCCGACCACAGGACGGCCCUGCCUGGACCACGGACCUGGUCGGCCUGCCUGUUCAGGCGAUGUUGUGGAUGUCCCCGAACCCUAGUGCUCCCUGCUUCGGAUGAUGUAGGGCAGCAUCCACCUGAACGCACAUCACUACCAAGGCCAAGGUUUUGGAAGGAAGCCCUUCUCCUCUCCCAUCUCAAUAUUAUACCAUGGGACCCUGGGCCACGGGGCUCUGGCCGCCGACCCUGGAGCCCUGACCAGUGAACACAGCUGCCUGUCCUUUACCCUUGUGUCCAUCCAGGAGCGGCCUUCUGCCAGGGACCUGGUCGGCCUGCCUGUUGAGGCGAGGUUGUGGAUGUCCCCGGACCCUAGUGCUCCCUGCUUUGGAUGAUUUGGCAGAUCCAUCUGAAUGCACUUCACCACGGAGGCCAAGGUUUUGGAAGGAAGCCCUUCUCCUCUCCCAUCUCACUAUUAGACCAUGGGACGCUAGAAUAGGGGACUCAGGCUGCCGACCCUGGAGUCCUGACCAGUAUACACAGUUGUCUGCCCUUAUCCCUUGUGUCCACCUGGGAGCGGCCUUCUGCCAGGUGGGAACCCGGUGCUUGACCUAGGGUCCCAUUGAGUUGGGUGGUCUCCUCCCUUGUUUUCACACCUCCCUGUGUGCUCUCGGUUGUGGGACACCACCACCCCACCUCUCUAGCAUGUCUGGGGUUGCCCCGGCCAACGGGGUGUCAACAGGUGUGACCCACCUGCAGGAGAGAAUGAAAGGGAAAUGAAAGGGAUGGGGGAGACACGAAAGAAGACAACAAGACAGUGUGUUCUGAUCAAGCUGCAAGUAUUAUUCUCCUCAGCAAGGCUUAUAUAGCAUGGGAGAGGGAGGGGGCAGGUAGGAGGGAAGGGGUGCACGAUGUGCCAUUCGUACAGGUGAAGGGGGACAUGCAGGUGAAGGGGGACCUGCAAGUCGUGAGGGUGUUGUGCUAGGUGGUAAGUUCACUGGUCAGGGCCCAUUGUUCUGUUGCUAUGCUACCUGACCUGCCUGACCUGUUCUUUAUCUUUGGGGGCAUCUGGUUGAGGGCAGGGGCUUGUUCUCUGGCCCAGCUAGUACUUUUCCAUGGUCCAUGUUUGGUUGUUGAUAUCUCCCCCUUCUCUAUGUAUAGCAAAACAAAGAAAGGAGGCCCAAAUGUUUUUGCCGUGACAGGAGAGGGGUGACAGAGGCUCUAUCCCUGAUAAGUUCCAUUGUUAACUGUCAGUCCAUGUAGGCGUCCCCACGUGCCCUGAAGGAUGCUGGAACGAUGCAGUUUUUUUUUUUGUUUUUUUGUU